UACCAGGUGGCGGAGUGGUUAACGCACCUGCAUAGUAAGCAGGAGAUUCUGGGUUCAAAUCCCAGUCCAGUAC